GGCCAGACUCCUACGGGAGGCAGCAGUGGGGAAUAUUGCACAAUGGGGGAAACCCUGAUGCAGCGACGCCGCGUGAGUGAAGAAGUAUUUCGGUAUGUAAAGCUCUAUCAGCAGGAAAGAAAAUGACGGUACCUGACUAAGAAGCCCCGGCUAACUACGUGCCAGCAGCCGCGGUAAUACGUAGGGGGCAAGCGUUAUCCGGAUUUACUGGGUGUAAAGGGGGCGCAGACGGCAGCGCAAGCCAGGAGUGAAAGCCCGGGGCCCAACCCCGGGACUGCUCUUGGAACUGCGCGGCUGGAGUGCAGGAGGGGCAGGCGGAAUUCCUGGUGUAGCGGUGAAAUGCGUAGAUAUCAGGAGGAACACCGGUGGCGAAGGCGGCCUGCUGGACUGCGACUGACGUUGAGGCCCGAAAGCGUGGGGAGCAAACAGGAUUAGAUACCCCUGUA
rnacentral:rRNA from 1 species